rnacentral:rRNA from 1 species
GACGAACGCUGGCGGCGUGCUUAACACAUGCAAGUCGAACGGAAAGGCCCUGCUUUUGUGGGGUGCUCGAGUGGCGAACGGGUGAGUAACACGUGAGUAACCUGCCCUUGACUUUGGGAUAACUUCAGGAAACUGGGGCUAAUACCGGAUAGGAGCUCCUGCUGCAUGGUGGGGGUUGGAAAGUUUCGGCGGUUGGGGAUGGACUCGCGGCUUAUCAGCUUGUUGGUGGGGUAGUGGCUUACCAAGGCUUUGACGGGUAGCCGGCCUGAGAGGGUGACCGGCCACAUUGGGACUGAGAUACGGCCCAGACUCCUACGGGAGGCAGCAGUGGGGAAUAUUGCACAAUGGGCGGAAGCCUGAUGCAGCAACGCCGCGUGCGGGAUGACGGCCUUCGGGUUGUAAACCGCUUUCGCCUGUGACGAAGCGUGAGUGACGGUAAUGGGUAAAGAAGCACCGGCUAACUACGUGCCAGCAGCCGCGGUGAUACGUAGGGUGCGAGCGUUGUCCGGAUUUAUUGGGCGUAAAGGGCUCGUAGGUGGUUGAUCGCGUCGGAAGUGUAAUCUUGGGGCUUAACCCUGAGCGUGCUUUCGAUACGGGUUGACUUGAGGAAGGUAGGGGAGAAUGAAAUUCCUGGUGGAGCGGUGGAAUGCGCAGAUAUCAGGAGGAACACCAGUGGCGAAGGCGGUUCUCUGGGCCUUUCCUGACGCUGAGGAGCGAAAGCGUGGGGAGCGAACAGGCUUAGAUACCCUGGUAGUCCACGCUGUAAACGGUGGGUACUAGGUGUGGGGUCCAUUCCACGGGUUCCGUGCCGUAGCUAACGCUUUAAGUACCCCGCCUGGGGAGUACGGCCGCAAGGCUAAAACUCAAAGGAAUUGACGGGGCCCGCACAAGCGGCGGAGCAUGCGGAUUAAUUCGAUGCAACGCGUAGAACCUUACCUGGGUUUGACAUGGAUCGGGAGUGCUCAGAGAUGGGUGUGCCUCUUUUGGGGUCGGUUCACAGGUGGUGCAUGGCUGUCGUCAGCUCGUGUCGUGAGAUGUUGGGUUAAGUCCCGCAACGAGCGCAACCCUUGUUCACUGUUGCCAGCACGUUAUGGUGGGGACUCAGUGGAGACCGCCGGGGUCAACUCGGAGGAAGGUGGGGAUGACGUCAAGUCAUCAUGCCCCUUAUGUCCAGGGCUUCACGCAUGCUACAAUGGCUGGUACAGAGAGUGGCGAGCCUGUGAGGGUGAGCGAAUCUCGGAAAGCCGGUCUCAGUUCGGAUUGGGGUCUGCAACUCGACCUCAUGAAGUCGGAGUCGCUAGUAAUCGCAGAUCAGCAACGCUGCGGUGAAUACGUUCCCGGGGCU